CAAGGAAAUAGGAUGGGAGGGUGUAGGCGCGUAGCGGCUCGUGUGGGGGCGAUCACGGGCGCACGCGCACAGUUGGGAGUGGUGGCGCGGGGCCGUUGGAGGCGGGCGGGGCUGCGGUCUGUGGGGAGCCGGGUGUUCGCGGCCCGGGGGUUUGCUGAGCCUGCUAGGGCGGGAGCCUAAGUGGGGCUGCGCGCUUUGCUGGGCCGUGCUCGGCUCUUUGCUCCUGGGUUUCUUUCUGAAACUCCACGUCCUCCUUCCCAAACCGUGAGAAACCAGGGUGGUAACAGACGCGAUCCUGCUCUCCGGCGCUGGCCUGGCCUGCCUUGCCCUGGCCUGCAGCCGAGGGGCGGCCUGGCAGGGCUGCCUGCAGCUGGAGCAGUGUCCCCAAAAUCACCAGUGCCACCCAGGCAGACAGCCCAGGUCCGGCAGGCAGCGCCGUGCUGCUCACCCGUCUCAGCAUUUGGCAGCACCAAGCGUGAGUGUCUGCUGGCUGCUCAAGUGCUGGUCUGAGCUAGGCGGUGUUUAGUGCCAAACAACGCAGAGCGGUUUUGGUAUUUGGUCCUGCUAAUACUCGCUGCUCUCUUGAAAUACACAUAAAAGCAUUUUCUGAUAAGACUGUGGUGUUGAAAAGGUCAGCAAACCUGCUGAUGUUGAGCAGCCUUAACCACUGCGGGCACACCUGUGAGCUAUAACGCAUGUUACUGCAAUUAGCUACAGCUCUGCAUCUUGAAACAAGAAAUCCAGUCUGUGUCUGCAGCAACAAAGCAACAGAGGAUGCAUGUGGUGACCACACCUCUCCAAAGGCAACGCUGGGAAUAAUUUUGCUCAAAUAGGCUUGCUCAGUUAUGUUUAUCCCAAAAAGAGACAGAGGAGAGUCUUUAGCUUUCUUUACUCUAAUAAAGUGAGAGUCUGCUGGGGGCAUUUCCCCGUAGGGUGUCUCAAAUUAUCGGAGGGCGCAGCGUCCUUUUCAUCCCCAUCUCCUGGCUGUAUGGUCCCUCUUAUGUUCCUCAUUGGCUGAACUCCUCGGAGGUUGCAGACUUCCCAAUCCAUCUAAUACAUGUUUCCCAUAUAUGUAACCCCCCUUCGUAUCAUGCGUUGCGUAUGUAAUUAAGUCCAAAUUUAUGCUGCUCAGGGCAGAUAACUUAAUAUUAAUUAGACUAUUAAGCCUGCACAGUAAAGCCAAAGUUCAUAAGUUGUUGAUAAACCUUUGUAACUGAAGCCUUAUUUGGUGAGGGUUUACAAAGUAAAUACAGACAUCAAGCGGAGAGGAAUGUGCAAGUCUCUGCACAACUUGUCUGCAAGGACACCUUGUUCACAAGCCGCUUUUAUCUCUGCAGUGAUGUAGCAAAAGAGGAAAAUGUUUGUGGUAGCCUAAGCAGGAACAAGACUAGGGAGACUGUUUUACUUCUAUAAAACAUUUUGUUCAUAGCUAAUACUGAAAUCAUAUGUACAAUUCUAGAAUCUGGAGCUCUCUGUGAUCUGCAGAGAUCUAAAAAGAUCAAUCAGCAUUGUUGAAUGGCUGGAGAAAGUGCCUUUCUCUCACUGAAAGGUGAAAUACCCAAUCUGGUGUCUGUUAAAGGUAGACCGGGAGGGACUUGAUUACAAUAUGUAAAUAAUUUGACAGGAACACCAUAUGAAGUACUCAAAACAUAAAAGCAUCAAGGGGCCCAGCUGAUUGACAGCUAAAGGUACACAGAAUAAUGUUAGAAAAUUCAGUAAAUAAAGAUGAUUUACUGGAAACUAACCACAAUGGCAAGAAAGAGGGGAUAUUUUUUUCUCUUGUUUUCUUCAGAUCAGGAUAAUGCCUGUUCAGAAGCUCUUUCACCACAUGGUGUCAUUUAAGCGCGUGCUUCUACAUAUAGGAAAACAACCCAGGACUUGAAACCACCAAUCUUUAACUCUUAUGAAUCAGAGAUUUCAGUUAAUUGUAUCCUUAAAAUGGACUUGUCUUCACCUUGGACUACAGAUAUUUUUCUGUGCUUGACAAAGAUCCUUUAUUUUGUACAGAGGAGAAAUGCAAUAUAAUACAGACUUCUUACUAUCUUACAGAUUGCAGUUCUCAAACAGUAUGUUUUACAGUUCAUGAAAUGGCCAGUGUUUGGAGAGUUAUCUAUUAGCUCUCUUUAAACCAAUGUAUAUCCAGUUGCCAAGAUUUUGUUCUUUCUGUAUUUGUUAAGGGAUCAAAGGAAGUUCAUAAAGGAAGGCAUAUUUGAGCAGCAGAACUUCUUCUCUUCACAAAUCCUUAGGUUUUAUGAGCUGUGCAUAUGCUGCAGUGUGCUGGGAGGUAAUGUUGUCGUCCACCAGCUGAUGUAUGGACGUGCUUUUGGGCUGUCUCUGGCGGUUGUUGUCCAAUAGGUGGUGCUGCUGCUGCACAAACACGGCAUCACGAGCCCUAGUAACUAGCAUCGCAGGAAACUUUUGUCAGACAAAAAAUACACCUCUUUUGACAUUACUUUUGUACUUGGAACUAAUGGCAGUAUAUAGCUGAACUUAUUUUCGAAGAUAUCCGGGGCUAUCCAGUCUUUUGAUGUGUGCAUGACUUAUGUUGUAUAAACAGUCUGAAAUCAGCACUGUUCUGCAUUCCCUAAUGUUAAGUCCUGAAGCAGUAAAGAGGCAAAUAUGAGGUGAGAGCUGAGCCCUCAGCAGCCAGUAACGCAACAGAGACAGUUAUACCAAAGGCUUAAUGUCCUUGCUGUUCAACUUCAUAUGGACAGAUUGCUGUGCCCAGCACAGGGACCUUGUCACUAGCAAAAACGCGGCUUUUGCAAACAAAACAGCCUGUCUUCAUCACAGAAAGUGCAAUCCAAAUGUAGGCCCAAAUAGAGAUGCUGGAAGUUCUUACACUUUCCUGGUAGGCUGCCUGGCAGGUAUGUCCUGGUUGCAGGGCGCUAUGUCCACCUUGAAAGUUGGCGGUCUCUUCCUUGCGAUCAAACUGCCGAGUAUCUCUUGAUGCUUCAAUUAUGAGCAUUGUUUUCCUGAAGAUGUUUUUGUUUUCCUUUUAGUUGAACUGUGCCUCUGAGUAAAGCUUGGUUUUUGUUGUUGUUAUUGGUUAUUCUGUUUUGCUUUUUGUUUGUGUAGCUGUUUGUUACUGUGGGCCGAGCUAUCCACUUUGUCCGUAGAUGCAGUUAUGUGACAUUUGCUAUUACAGGGCAUUGUUUUUGUUGCUCCUGCAAAAUUUGGGCUGAAUUUUUUUUCUGCUCACUCUUUGGUUCUGGCAAGACUUUUGAAACCUUCAGCAGCUUCAAGUUGCAAAACUAAAUUACAGAAAAAAAUGCUGGUGGGCUGGGCGUGUGAUUACAGGUGAACAGGUAUUUCACUGAGACGUUCCAGUCCCUCUUCAUUCUAAAUGGUGGACUUGAAAUUUCAUACAGAAAUUCUUCUUGUUUUAAGGAUGGUUUGGUUCUUGUUGGUUUGUUUGUUUGUUUGUUUUUGCCGUUACACUCUCCUGAAACUUGGCCUAAUUAUUGGUUUUGGAAAUACCUGUUCUUACAGGAGUUUGUGAAGUGAAUUAGGUAAACAUCCACAGCUCUAAACAUAAUUAAACUUUCUAUAACCCCGGUAGCUGACCUGAGGUAUGGUGCUAAGCAGAGAAAUUGAGAGUUCUAACAUGUUCUGUACUCUGAAUGAUUACAGUAAUUAUGCCCCAUCAGUGAAAAGGCCCAGUGACUCAAAGUGAGGGGGAGAGGUGAAUCAGAAUUGAAUGAGGAUUAAGAGACAGGGCGGAGCAUCAUGGAGAUAAGAAAAGGUCAGAAUUAGGGAGAACUGACAGCAAGCCUGCAUACAUUAGGGCAUCAUCUGCUCCAGAAGAGUCUGAGGUUCUGGGAUUUCUGUUCACCUGCUGUUGACAGUUUUGUGAAAGUCAAAAUGGUGGCUCCUGUAGGAAAUCACAACCUGCCAGUGUACAGCUGGUCUGUUUGAUGGGUCUGCGUCAGGCCUACACAACAGGCAGAUUGUCAGGUGGUUUUUCAGCUCAACGUGUGCCUCCAGUAUGGAGGAAUAUGCCAAGUUAAGGUGUGACUUCUCUCUGCGAGGCACUCUACCAUCUGCAUCGGUGAGCGUGUCAGCGCUGGCUGCCUGGGGACAUCAGCAGGCUGCUAGAGAUGCUGGUUCUGCAGCUCAGGGUGCUGGGAAGGCUGCGGCCAAGAUUACCUCUGUUCACACGAGGUUUGGAUGACAGUAAAGCUGAGAAGAUGAUGGGAGGUUGGAAAUAGGGAGCAAGGGCCAGCGCAGUGGGUAGAAGAGCCUGGGAGGAUUAGAGGAGCCUGAAGCAGUGAGCCAGCAGCGUGGGAGGGUUGGGAAGCAGGAACUCGAGGUUAACAUGGGAACAGCGUAGGGGUACUUUGUGUUUAUGUGUGGGGAGAGACCUGGGAAGCAUGGAACAAGGAGUGCUGCUGUGAUGAAUGGAGGGGCUGGUGUGGGGGGAGGAGACAAAAGCCUGGCAGCAGCAGCAGCAGCGCUCUGCCCGCGGGAGCUCCGCUGUGUGCCAGCAGCCACUGCUUUGCGCUGGCAUCUGUCACUGGUGCCCCCACAGCUGCUUCUGUGCUGCUGCCCUCAGCCCUGGAUACAACCCACCCCUGCUGGUGCCAGCAGUGCAAUGGGCUCCUUGGGUGACUGUUUUCAUUUUAUCACCCGCUUUGCUUUUUGUCUUUUAUUGAUGCAAGCAAACACGUUAUGUUGUGAGAAUUAGUAUGAAGGCAAGCACCUGAAAUCACAGCAUGAUCUCGCCUACGUGUCCUUAGUUUGACCACUUCUCCUUGUGUGUUAGGCUACGGUCUUUAAUUACAUUGUCAAAUGUCUUCUUCCUCUUUAUCUCUGUUCCGUUCAGUACACAGGAUUUACAGUAAUCAAGGAGGUGUAGAUAAAAUCAUAAAGAAUAUUGUAGUUUUUAAGUUCUGCUUCUCUUUUUGUUGUAUUUUAAAGGAAAGGAAGAUGAAAGAAGAGAAAAUGAGGUUUGCAAGAGGGCAACAGAGCAUCGCUAUAGAGAUGUGAAUUUAGUUUCCUGUGUAGGAUUAUCUACACUGCGUGAAUAAUGUGGACUCAUGUAUAGAAGAAAGAAAGCUUAGAGUGUAAACUUAGAGCAAGUUGCCCUGUGGGACAUCGAAAACUUACCGAAGGAGCUCAGAUUUGGCUGGAGGUACUUCUGCUGCCAGGGGGGCAUGAUUGGAUUGCCUUUGGGAACUCUGUACCUUCCUGGUUUUGAAGAAUCAUAACAUCUUGACCUGCAACAGUUACCAUUCCUAAUCAGCAUUCCUUAAGCCGUAUUGGGUAGCUGUUUUGGGUCGUCAAAUAUAGAAUGAAGUAUUUUGAGAAGAGAUAAUUUAUUUGUAAAGAGAGUACUAUUUAUUUGAUGUCUCUUCUAAAGUUUAUGAGAUCAGAACGUUAAUUAGUCCCUCAGACACCUUUGGUUAUUUGUAUCUCUAUUUCUCUGCCCCCCAGUAGAAUAAGGGAUAAUAAAGUUGCAUUAUGUUAUGGAAAUUAAUAUUUAAAGAAUGCUGAGAUGUAGUACUGAUGACUAUCAAUGAAAGGCAGUAAGAAAAGGAAGAACUCUCUUUAAAAUAGAAUUUGAGGAGUCCUUGGCAAAGACUUUAUCUGAAAGAAGAGGUGGAAAUGUUGAAGUUAUUCUGGCAAGUUCUGCUGACAUUGAAACAGGUUGUGAGCAGAAUGAAAGACUAUUGAAGUCUACUUUAUCAUGCCAUGUUUUACUUCCAUGCUGUGAACCUUGCCCACAGUCAACAUUUCUAGUGGUGAACUAUGCUAAGGUUAUUUUUGCUAUUUACUUGGCACAUGAACCUCUAAAGAAACAUCAGCUAUUCUAAAGUAGCUGCAGAAUUUGUGUGGACCCACAUACUUUCUUCACCAACAUAAACAUGUAUAGUCUGUGUAAAAUGCAAAAUAUGCACAUCCCUGUUCCAAACUCUUUCGUCAUUCCUUUUACUGACAGACUUUGAGACACGUUCUCCUAAGUGAGAGAAUUUCUGAAGUAUGCAUAUAGCGGUGAGAUGUGGCAACAACCCAUCUUGUUGCAAGAAUGAACUUGUUAAAUAUUCCCUUCCACAAGUAGCGUUAGUCACUACUUGAGCCGCAAGACUGCUUUCAUGUGGUUUAACAUCCUGUUCUUGGUAAUGUUGUCUUGUCUUACACCUGAUGCAGUGCUUAGGGAAGCUGAAAUUCCUGCAGAUGUUUCCUCUGAAAAUGAAACUGAAAUUUCCCUUACAGUAAUUGUUGUGCAUGUCACUGCAGCUGUCUCCAAACAAAGUCAUUUUGGAUUCUUGGCAAGCGAAUAUCAUUAUUUAGAGGCUAAUAAUAAAAGGAGGGUAUCUCACUUGAGCAGUUAGAACUCUCUUUGUCAAUAUUUCCAGUUAUACGUCACUUGAAGGGGAAAAGCAUGUGGAGCUACUUGUUGAUAUUUCUUUACAUUCUAACUUUCAUAUUAAAAUGUUGCAAUAUCUAUGUUGAAAUGACGGGGAAACCAAGAGGGCAGGUUAUCGGGAACAUACUAAGAUAUAGCAGCGCUGCAAGCCUACCUAAAUGAUUCUUGUUUACACAAAGGUAUCAACACAUCUAGGCACUGGGAUAAUUGUUAUUCAUUGUGUAUUGAGCAAAAGCAUGGGAACUUUUUGUUUGGUUGCUUUUUAAAAAUUUUACUUUCAAGGUUUGCUCUCACAGGUGCUAUUGACACUCUUUACUUACAAAGGAAAAAAUGUGGAAUUGAUUUGUUAUGCAGUUUCAUACGCUGUAUUUUUUUCACAAAGAUUUGGAUUCCCUGUGCUAUGCUUCCUUUGAGAGAGAACUCAGUUCUCCAGUGUGGUUAUAGAUCCAAAGUCUUUCCAAAGCUUCAGGGCUGCAGAAGAAUUUUCAUCUUGGCUUGGUACUUCGUUAAUUUAAGAAUGGGUGAUGGAUUCUAAGGAGGUCAUCUGCAGUGGGGAUGUUUGUCCUCUUCUUGGUCAAGCCUACUGGCAUGAUUUGGUGAGAGCGUAAAAUCCAUUGUUUUAUGGCAGUGGACCCUGAACUGUUGCCAGCAGAGAGAGCGUAAAAUGAAAAGCAGAUGUUGUCAUUGGGAACAAGAUAAUAAUAAUUAUGGUCAGUGACCAUUACAAUGGGCAUUAUCCCUUGUAAUAAAUUUUCUUCUUGUAUUAAUGGGAUUUUUUUUCCAAGGAAAAUAAUUCUUGAAUUGACAGAGGAGAUGGUUGUAUCCAACAGUGGGCAAAGUGCUGUCACAAAUUCAAACACGUUGCCAGUGGAGGAAAUCUGAGUUUGUUUCUGCAGAAGUUCCCAGCAUCUCUGCUACCACCCUUAGCAUGCCAUGCUAAUGGAGUUCCUUCUUCCUUCUGAGAAGUCCCUGCCAAGAUGGGGCUCCAGCUGGAUCCGUUUUGGAAGACAGUACUUAUAAGCCUCAGUGUCCUGCCAUGAGUCUGCCUGCCAUGAUGACAUCUUGCUUGUUUAUUCUUCUGCCUCUACCUCUCAACAGCAGUUUCUGCAUCCACAGUAUUCCUCUUUCCAGCCGUGGUUUGUUACAAGACAGGGGAAGGAGAUAGCAGUUUGCGGCGCAAAACUGAAAUUGCCUGAGAGGGAACAUGAGCCUUAAUGGGUGCAGCAGUAACAUCCGAAGUGCCAGAUCAGGGGCGCUGCUUUUACAGCUCUGCCUGAGAUAAGGGUAUGUAAAAUGGAGAUUAAUUCUUUGAGGUAUGUCCUGCUUCAGCUGUGAAUGUAGCCCGUGCUUCCUAAUGAUGGAUCUGAUUUGGCACAUGAAUGUGGCACUGAGUGACAGCUCUGUACCAAACUGCCCAGAUGGUGAGCUCUUGUAAAGCUUUACUCUCUCAUUCCCCACAAACCUAGUUAUUAGGUUAUUUUGUGUGUGAGGAUCCUGCACGAGAGCAUGUGCUGACUGACAGCGAGGCGAGGGGCAGAAGUUCCAUGACUGGAAGAAAAAGACACUGAAUCUUACUGUUGUUCUCACAUAUCUGCCAGAGGUCUCUGUCAAACACAGGAUCCCUGUGUAGCUGACCUUGGUCUGUUGUGACUGAAGCAGAGGCGCUGGCAUGAAGAAGUACGUCACAUCGUGAGAAGGAGAAAGGGAGAGAGGAGCGAGGUGGCAGAGUGCUGAGGAUGGGCCAUGCGUAAAUGAUGCUAACAAUUGUCCCAUCAGAACUGGGAUAAUGCAUGGCAGAUGAAGAACAGUGAUUUUAUUGAACUCUCCACACAGAUUCUCACCCUGUGGGAAGUCUAAGGGGGAGAGAGUUGGUCAGAGUGCAAAAUUAAGGUGACAUUAUAAAGCCUCCUCAUGAAAUGCUUCAGUGACAGUCACGUCUCAAAACUCCAUGUGAACUGACAGCCACUGGAGGGUGGGGAGUAUGUGGAGGUUUGACUUGUGGAUAAAUCAUGAAGAGAAAAAUAAAACUUUUCCCAGAGGGAGAGCUGCCACGUAUGCUUGCAAAGAAAGUUAUUUGCUUGCUCCCUGCAGUGUUUUUUUGUAAUCACUUAAAAAUGUGGUUUUUUCCAGUUCUUUUUAAGUAAGAAAUCUUGUUUGAUUACUAACACGUACCUGAUGCAAAAGAACAGAAAGGCUUGCUUUAAACAUGCCAUAUUAACAUUUCCUGCUGCUACUCAUAUCCUCUUCCCCCUAUGUAACUCUAAUAUCCCAUGAGUCUAAUACUGAGGCAUUAGCUUAACUGCUGUGCAGUUAACAAAAUAGUGACUUGAGGAAAGUACUGACAUGCAGAGAGAAUAGAGGGAUGUUCAUUCACUUCUGCUCCAACUCCUACAUCUGCUGCUAUGACUAUGGGGAGGAAACCAUAUAUGAUGGGAAGAGAGAGCAUAGGAGCUGUAGGUAUUUGAGGGCAUGGCAGGGAAGGCAAGGAAGAAAUCAUAUGAAGAGCUGAUGUCAGUGGUAUGCAGAUGACAUGGAUGCUUCUUCAGAGAUGACCACCAUAAAAUGCAGUGCUUGUUCCAUUGAAGAGUGGAGACAGCAUCAUCCAAGUUGCUUGAGUAGCUGUUCUUAAACAAUAUACUUGAAAUUUGAACACUGAUAGCUAGGAAUAAAAGAGAAAAAAAACCUCUUGACCGUGACAUACAGAAGAAAAGGAACUGAAAUCACUGAAUACGGUACUAAUACAUUAUUUGUGGAAUCUUAGAA